rnacentral:rRNA from 1 species
UACGUAGGAGACGAGCGUUGUCCGGAGUUACUGGGCGUAAAGGGUGCGCAGGUGGCGGCGCGCGUGGGGGGUGAAAUCGCCCGGCUUAACUGGGCGGGGGCCUUCCAGACGGCGUGGCUUGAGCAGCGGAGGGGGACGUGGAAUUCCGGGUGGAGCGGUGAAAUGCGUAGAGAUCCGGAGGAACACCGACGGCGCAGGCAGCGUCCUGGGCUAAUAUUGACGCUCAGGCACGAAAGCGUGGGGAGCAAACAGG